rnacentral:rRNA from 1 species
CUUUGUAUCCCGAAGAGUGAUGGUGGCAUGGGCUUUAGAGAUCUCCAUUCUUUUAAUCUAGCACUCUUGGCAAAACAAUGUUGGAGAAUGAUAAGCAAUCCUGACUCGGUCUAUGCUAGGAUUUUGAAGGCUAAAAUUUUCCCAAAUACAUAUUUGCUGCAUGUAGGACUAAAAAAUGGCUCUUCAUUCACAUGGCAGACUACUGUAGCCGGUUUGUCUAUGUUUAAGAGAGGGUAUAUAUGGCGCAUUGGAUCAGGGGAGAAAGUGGAUAUUUGGAAUGAUCCAUGGAUUCCUGUGAGUCCGGACAGGAAGGCCAUACUUUACUUGUUAAAGUCGUGGGAUUAA